UACGGGGGGGGCAAGCGUUGUUCGGAAUUACUGGGCGUAAAGGGCUCGUAGGCGGCCAACUAAGUCAGACGUGAAAUCCCUCGGCUUAUCCGGGGAACUGCGUCUGAUACUGGAUGGCUUGAGGUUGGGAGAGGGAUGCGGAAUUCCAGGUGUAGCGGUGAAAUGCGUAGAUAUCUGGAGGAACACCGGUGGCGAAGGCGGCAUCCUGGACCAAUUCUGACGCUGAGGAGCGAAAGCCAGGGGAGCAAACGGG
rnacentral:rRNA from 1 species